rfam:Folsomia candida strain VT population Fcan01_Sc002, whole genome shotgun sequence.
GGCUCGUAGGCAGUGUUCGUUAGCUGGUUUGAUUUUUAUGUUUCAAGCCACUAUCAACACUGCCGGCGAGAC